GACGAACGCUGGCGGCGUGCUUAACACAUGCAAGUCGAACGAAGUGGCGAACGGGUGAGUAACGCGUAAUCAACCUGCCCUUCAGAGGGGGAUAACAGUUGGAGACGACUGCUAAUACCGCAUACUGAAGGUGGGGAUUGCGUUUGAUUAGCUCGUUGGUGGGGUACCGGCCCAACAAGGCGAUGAUCAGUAGCCGGGCUGAGAGGAUGAACGGCCACAUUGGGACUGAGACACGGCCCAGACUCCUACGGGAGGCAGCAGUGGGGAAUCUUCCGAAAUGGACGAAAGUCUGACGGAGCAACGCCGCGUGAGUGAUGACGGCCUUCGGGUUGUAAAGCUCUGUUAAUCGGGACGCGGUACCGGAAUAGAAAGCCACGGCUAACUACGUGCCAGCAGCCGCGGUAAUAC
rnacentral:rRNA from 1 species